UAACCCUGAGCGUGCUUUCGAUACGGGGUGACUUGAGGAAGGUAGGGGAGAAUGAAUUUCCUGUGGGAGCGGUGGAAUGCGCAGAUAUCAGGAGGAACACCAGUGGCGAAGGCGGUUCUCUGGGCCUUUCCUGACGCUGAGGAGCGAAAGCGUGGGGAGCGAACAGGCUUAGAUACCCUGGUAGUCCACGCUGUAAACGGUGAGUACUAGGUGUGGGGUCCAUUCCACGGGUUCCGUGCCGUAGCUAACGCUUUAAGUACCCCGCCUGGGGAGUACGGCCGCAAGGCUAAAACUCAAAGGAAUUGACGGGGCCCCGCACAAGCGGCGGAGCAUGCGGAUUAAUUCGAUGCAACGCGUAGAACCUUACCUGGGUUUGACAUGGAUCGGGAGUGCUCAGAGAUGGGUGUGCCUCUUUUGGGGUCGGUUCACAGGUGGUGCAUGGCUGUCGUCAGCUCGUGUCGUGAGAUGUUGGGUUAAGUCCCGCAACGAGCGCAACCCUUGUUCACUGUUGCCAGCACGUUAUGGUGGGGACUCAGUGGAGACCGCCGGGGUCAACUCGGAGGAAGGUGGGGAUGACGUCAAGUCAUCAUGCCCCUUAUGUCCAGGGCUUCACGCAUGCUGCAAUGGCUGGUACAGAGAGUGGCGAGCCUGUGAGGGUGAGCGAAUCUCGGAAAGCCGGUCUCAGUUCGGAUUGGGGUCUGCAACUCGACCUCAUGAAGUCGGAGUCGCUAGUAAUCGCAGAUCAGCAACGCUGCGGUGAAUACGUUCCCGGGGCUUGUACACACCGCCCGUCAAGUCAUGAAAGUUGGUAACACCCGAAGCCGGUGGCCUAACCGUUGUGGGGGAGCCGUCGAAGGUGGGACUGGUGAUUAGG
rnacentral:rRNA from 1 species